AAAGUCGUAACAAGGUUUCCGUAGGUGAACCUGCGGAAGGAUCAUUACUGAGUGAUUCGGUCCCUCGUGGACCGGUUACCCGACCUCAUGUCAUCUGUACGCCGGUGGUGGGAGGGCCUCUUCGGGGGCCCGAACACCCCCGGUGAACCAUAACUUCGGCGGAAGUGGCAGGCCUGGACCUGCCCGCCGCCGGCCGUAUUCCAAAACUCUUGUGAGAAUCUGAAGCCUGAUUUAUAUUUUAAUGAAAAGCAAAACUUUCAACAACGGAUCUCUUGGCUCUG
rnacentral:misc_RNA from 1 species